rnacentral:rRNA from 1 species
UUUUCCGGUUGAUCCCGCCGGAGGCCAUUGCUAUCGGAGUCCGAUUUAGCCAUGCUAGUUGCACGAGUUUAGACUCGUAGCAUAUAGCUCAGUAACACGUGGCCAAACUACCCUACAGACCGCGAUAACCUCGGGAAACUGAGGCCAAUAGCGGAUAUCACUCUCAGACUGGAGUGUCGAGAGUGAGAAACGUUCCGGCGCUGUAGGAUGUGGCUGCGGCCGAUUAGGUAGAUGGUGGGGUAACGGCCCACCAUGCCGAUAAUCGGUACAGGUUGUGAGAGCAAGAGCCUGGAGACGGUAUCUGAGACAAGAUACCGGGCCCUACGGGGCGCAGCAGGCGCGAAACCUUUACACUGCACGACAGUGCGAUAGGGGGACUCCGAGUGUGAGGGCAUAUAGCCCUCGCUUUUCUGAACCGUAAGGUGGUUCAGGAACAAGGACUGGGCAAGACCGGCGCCAGCCGCCGCGGUAAUACCGGCAGUCCAAGUGAUGGCCGAUAUUAUUGGGCCUAAAGCGUCCGUAGCUUGCUGUGUAAGUCCAUUGGGAAAUCGACCAGCUCAACUGGUCGGCGUCCGGUGGAAACUACACAGCUUGGGGCCGAGAGACUCAACGGGUACGUCCGGGGUAGGAGUGAAAUCCUGUAAUCCUGGACGGACCACCAAUGGGGAAACCACGUUGAGAGACCGGACCCGACAGUGAGGGACGAAAGCCAGGGUCUCGAACCGGAUUAGAUACCCGGGUAGUCCUGGCUGUAAACAAUGCUCGCUAGGUAUGUCACGCGCCAUGAGCACGUGAUGUGCCGUAGUGAAGACGAUAAGCGAGCCGCCUGGGAAGUACGUCCGCAAGGAUGAAACUUAAAGGAAUUGGCGGGGGAGCACCACAACCGGAGGAGCCUGCGGUUUAAUUGGACUCAACGCCGGACAUCUCACCGGUCCCGACAGUAGUAAUGACAGACAGGUUGACGACUUUACUCGACGCUACUGAGAGGAGGUGCAUGGCCGCCGUCAGCUCGUACCGUGAGGCGUCCUGUUAAGUCAGGCAACGAGC